UUCCGGAGAUGCCCCUGGCACUGGAGAUGUUAGAAGAGGGAAAACUUCCCCAGUGAGCCUACAGAACAAAUGCCUUAGAAACUGUCCCCUGACAAGUACCUCACCCGACCCCAGGCCUCGAUGGUUCAGGCAGUGGGGGUAUUUUGCAGACAGCAUCCUCAGCUUUGCUCCUCUUCCCCCACCCCACCCCAACCCCGCCAUGUAAACACGAGGACUUUCUCGAGAGCCCUGGAGAGCUGCUCUAGUGGCGUCGGGGCCUGAAACCCCAGGCUUGGCUUGUUUGAUGUUUAGCAUCCCAAAGCGGCUCCCCACCCCCGCCCCAGCCUGGGAACCCCGAGCUGUGGGGCCGAGGAGAAGGGAAAGCAGUUCUCUCAGCUGGCGAGCGGUGGACUGGGCUGGGCUCAGAGGAGAGGCGAAAACAACAGGACAGAGAUGCCCUGAGCGGGCAAUGAAGGGACCCCCAGGAUGCUGUGGCCACCCUUAAGAACACAGCUGGGGUCCUCAAGGCCAGGAGGAAAGAAAUGUCCCAGCUUGUGGGCGUACAUUAGAGGUAGGAGGGCAGCCAGGUGGAAAUAGCUUGGGUCCGGCGAGAGAAAGGUAAGCUGGGUCCGAGUUCAUUUAGCGAGCAUCGAGAUGGCAUCCAAGUCUUCGGGCGAUCGGGGCCUCGAGGAGACAGCGCUUCGGGCCACUGCUCAGAACUUGGCCUUUUUUGGGGAAAGACUUGCUUGGGAAUCUUGCAAGAGAUUUUAAAUGCUUCUGAGUCUGGACCUGGGAGUUCCAGUGACGAUGCUUGGAUGUGGUUUCGUAGUCUUUGAUUUUGAAAGCCCAGGAAGAUUCGCAGACUUUAAGAGGCCGCACACCCUUCGCGCUGCCAGGAGUCUGGGCGGCGGCGAGCGCUGCGGAGCUGUCUCAAGGCGUGAGUCUCUUCUCAGGCGAUUCCAGAUAAGAGGAAAUGAGAAAGAGGUUUUCUGACUUCCAACUCAUUAGGGACCAGAUUUACUCUCCAGCUCGGCGAGAGGGUGCAUCUGUGACCCUUAGCAAACCUACCCUUCAGAUCACCAGCCUCAGGACAAAUAUUUUAGUUUGGAUAAUCAUUUCACACAUAAUAACAUAAAGGGCUGGCUGUAAAUGUUAGCUGCUUUCCCAGACAGCCGUUUCUGGGUGGGAAUGCCCUCCGCUUCACGUCAGGACAAGAGCGCCUUUUAAACUGGAGAGCUUGAAGAAAAGACCUUUGCUUAACAGAUGAUACAGGACAAGGAUGAAUUGAAUAGCUCCAGUUAUCAGGAUGUAAAAGUCUACAUCAGAAUCAGUCUACUUGGAGCAUGCUCUUCUUCAGCAAAGCAGUAAAUUGCUUUGGAGACUUGGCAGGAAACAACAGAAGAACUAAAACAUGUUUUUAAAAGAUGUACCCUGGUGAGCUGAGUCAUGGUGUGUGCACACCUUUAAUCCCAGCACUCAGGAGGCAAGAGGCCUGUUCCUCAAUGAUGACCAUUAGUAAUAACCUCUUACAGAGGUUAUUUUUAAACAGACUGUUUCCUGAGGCAUUUGGAAGUGCUUGGCUACAUUAACAUGGGAUACAGAAUUUGACUGGAUGGAGAAGCUCUAAGCCGAAGACGGAUGAGCCCUGGAUUUUUCUUACUUACCCAUAAACCCAUUGUCUGUCUUGAGCAGGUCUUGGGGAAAGAAUACUAUACAAAGUUCUCAAAGUUGCUAUUUAUCAUGAGCAGGGCACAUCUUAAGACAGGAUAAGAGUAUUAAGAGUAGAGCUCAGGCUUCAUUCUAAGUGACUCCCUGAGGUUUCCCAUGUGAACUCAUGAUUUGCCCAUGCCUUGAGCUAACCUGUUGAAGCUCCCAAGAUGAACAAUGUGAAUGUUCUCUUCUUCAAACUUUAAAUAAAAGUCUUACGCUGAGUUGCAAAAAAGAGGAAUUAGCUACCUUACCACCAAGACGCUGCUCUUCUCAAUAACAAUGUGCUCCACAAAUUUCUCAGAACAUCACAUUAAGGUGAUCUGGGGAGAGGUAUUGGGAUGAAAUUAGAUCUGGAGAAUUCUUUAGACUCUUCCAUGAACUGAAAUUAGGAUAUUUUAUAAGAAGGGCGUACAGAAUUAAAAAAAAUGGGGAAAAGAUGCUGAUGAUUUCAGGAUUGUAAAUUACAUUGUCAAAUGAAUGUGAAAAUUCAAACUCAUCCCACAAGUCACACAAGGACAAAAAUGAAGAAAACUCCAGGUCCCUGUCUGUCUCUGCAUUGGGUCUCCUUACGGCUACUCUCCUGGCUUUUCAGCUUCCCUGCCCUGCCCCAACACUCUGCCUAACAGAUAGGCUUGGUUUUCUAGGACACUGGUGCUGGAUGGCUGGGGGGAUGGAGGUUGGCGAUCAUAAAGAUGAUGACUCCUGUUUCCUUCCUUGCGCUCACCCCACUGAAUGCCACCACCACCACCUCUCACAAACGUGUGUUUCCCAGUCGUAUGAGAACUUCAGAUGUGAUAAAAUGUCCAUGGAGUUUAUCCAGCCCACAUCUCGUGUUGGCUUCUUUUCAGGAAAACUAGUGGUACAUUAUUUUAUUUUUAUGAGCUUACCGUGUAAAUGCGAGCCUGUUAAGUGAGUUAUUGCCAGCAAUCAGGACCAUUUGUUACAUAACAUCAGUAAGAGGGACUCAGGUGAGAAACAACUCUGAUUGUAGGUGUUUAGUCCCAAUGUACAUCAGUUGUAACUCCUUAAAUGUAUUUCUUCUAGCAGCUAAUUUGAAAUACUUUAUCAGUGAAAGUCUUAGCACAACAGUUAUACAAACAUACAUAGAAAAACAUGAGGAAAUUAAAUCAGACUUAUAAUGUAAACCUUAACAAAAUGAUGGCUUAAUUUGUACUCACUUUGUAAUUUUAACUAAAUAUUGUGGUAAGUAGUUCUUACUUAAAUCCUAAGUAUAUGGGCAUUUAUUAUACACAAUAUGAAAAUACUUCAAGAGGCUUGUGAUUAACGCUGUGGUAUUCAAGCAUUAGUUUACAGUGACUUUCAAUCAAAGACAAAAGGUUCAAGCAGAUGAUGAAACACGUUAAAAAGAUGUAUGUGUACACCCAAGGACUUAAUUCAGACCUGCUCACAGUAACUCAGUUCGAGUUUUUAUCCACAGCAAGUAUCCCUGGAGCUCGACACAGGACUAUUCUUAGGGCAGAGUGGCCAGACAAAGUACAAGAUUGCCUAGUUAACUUUCAUUUCAGAUCAGCAAUGAAUAUUUUUCAUAUAAAAUUACAUUCCAGACAUUGAGUACAGUUAUUAGAAAAUCAACUAUCACUGAACACUUUGCACGGAUGUUCUUUUCUAGACAUGGCAACCCUACCCUAGGGGUUCUGAAGAGUUCCUACCUAACUCCUUCCCUGACUUCCAUAGCUUAACUUGAGGUCUCUCAAUCAUGCAGCCAUUCACUUGAACACGUAUGUGCUUGUUCUUUAAAGGAUGAUGCCUGGAAGACUGGAAACCCCCAAAUCCAAAUGUCAGUCAAGCAUGGUGAUCUGACUUAUAUUAUAUACUGAUUGCUAUGUUUUGCAUGCAGUUUGUUCCCCAGUAAUCACAUGGUGGAAGCCUAGUCUUCACUGCAGCCAGGGAAAGGCAGUGGGGUCUUUAAGAAGUAGGACCUCAUGAGAGGCUGUUAGGCCAUUGACUGUAUUGUGCUUGGAUGGGAUUAUGACAGUUCUUAUGAACUCUGGGUUAGUUCUAGUGAGAGUGGGUUAUUGUAAGAGCAAGGCCAACCUCUGAGCUCUUAAAUUGCUCUAUAACUUCCUAUCCUAGGAUACCAUCUCCUUUCUUCAGAAAUGGUCUCACUAUUUUGGUACUGACUUCCAAGGGGACCUCACUAGAGCUGAGCUGAGCUGAAGCCAGAGCUGUGGUGUGUUUGACAGUGCUCAAACUUGGGAAGAAACGAACAAACAUAUUACCUCCCAUCCCCAGAUAGGGAACCAGCACAGACCAAAGUGAGGAUAUCAUCAAAGUCCAAUUGGUGAACCAGGGUGUUUUAUUGGGAUUACUUACAGAGGCAGAAGUAACUCCAAGACAGCUGCAUCACCAAAGUCUACCCCAGCAUGGGUGCAAGAUCAUGAAAAUUGGAAUCCUGGAGGACACUGCACAACCUUAGACAGUUGUGAGACUGGAGAUUGGAGAGUAUUCUUUACAGGUAGUUAAACUGGCCUGUGCCUCUUUCAUCGAGCUUAGCUGGACUCUGCUUCUUCCAGACAUCUCAGCUUCUCUAAGUGUCUCUCAGCAGUCCUUACUGCUUAUAUGUGUUUGGCAGAGGGAGGAAUCCAGUGAAUCUGGUCAGUUUUAGGGAUUUCCUGGAGCUUUUGAGUUGUUUACUUCCUGAACUUCAUGACUUUGCUGCAAGACAGCACAUUGCAUCUUCCCUUAGAACAUAUUAUGUCUUCAUGAGCUUCCCUCCAAGAUGGAAGUUGACUACAGAGGAACUCACUGUGCUAUGGAGUCUUUAGAACUAUGAGCUUAAUAAACCUCCUUUCUUUAAAAACGUACCCAGCUUUGGACAUUUCAAUAUAAUAACAAAACAGAAGGUAACAUAUUCCCCCACUCCCUUCUUCUUAGGCUUGUUUCCUUUUGAGAAUUUGUUCAUGUUUUCAAAUAAAAAUUUAAACAUCAGUAAAUGGAGAGAGGUUGCCAUGUCACUAGUUGUAGUGCCGAGAAGACAUUUUCUUUGUUUUUAUUUUGUUUUGUUUCUCUCUCUCUCCUUGAAUUUGAAUGCAGUGCUAAUUCUUUGAAAGCAUGUUCUUAAUGUUUGGUACCACUUUUCAAAGAGCACUCAGAUGUGACAUGAGUGAGGAGAACCCUUCUCAGCUUAAGUCUGCUCUCAUGGAUUGGUCUUUUAGAGCUUAGGGAAGUUGGGUUCUCUAAGGUUUGAUUUACUAUUUUCUAAGUGAGGCCAACUGAGAGCCCUACAAGUGUCCAGCAACCGAAGAAAUGGAAUAUCAACAUGGUAGACUAGGAAACAAAACACAUAGAAUUGGCAGAUUUGAGAGUGAUUUACUUCAACUAGCUGUGAGAUCCCAUGCAGACCAUUUAGCCCUCAUGAUGCCUCAUUUCCUUUUCUAUAAAACGGGCAUGUUGCCAGGUGGUGGGGGCACACACCUUUAAUUCCAGCACUCAGGGAGGCAGAGGCAGGCAAAUCUUUUGUGAGUUCAAGGCCAGCCUGGUCUAGAGUGAGUUCCAGGACAGCCAGAGCUACACAGAGAAACCCUGUCUUGAAAAACCAAACAGCUGAACAAAAAUCAAACAGGGAUAUUACGGUAACUAUACAGCAAGAAAGUACAUGGAGAAAUAAUUUAUAAAUUUCAAGUUCUAUCUAGAUGUUAGUAGUGUUUGUUGAUGAUGAUGAGGGAGAUCAUGGUCAAGACAAAAAUUACAGGUAGUCACACAUACCCAUAUACAUAUGUAUGUAUGUAUGUAUGUAUGUAUGUAAUUUAUGUAUAUAUUAUUAUAUAUUGCAGUGCUAAGAAUUGAAUUUCUGGCCUCAUGCACACUAAUAAAAUGCUCUGCUAUUGAGCUGCAUCUCCAAUCCCCAGGAGAGAGUUUAGAGGGUUUUUUUUUUUAUUUAGUGUGUAUGUGUAGUUGUACAUUUGGAAACACACAUACCAUGACUCACGAGUAGAGCUCAAAAGAUAGCUUACAGGAGUUCAUUCUCUCUUUCCACCACAUAGAACUAGAGCUCUCCUCAUACCACGCAGAAUGAAGACAUCAGACUUAGGUCAUCAGGUUUGAGGGCAAGGGCCCUUACCAUGACAUCUUGCUGGUCUCUAUAGUAGAAUUUUAAAUGUCUACUACCUACUCAAUUCAUAAGAACUCUACAUGUACGAUCACUGUUCCUAUAUGGGUUGAGACAACAAAGGCACUGAAAACAAACUCAACUCCAUGUAUUUCAUUCAUCCAUUCAUUCGCUCAUUCCAGACAGGGUCUCUUGUAGUCCAGGUGGCCUGGCCUCAAUCUUGCUAUGUAAGUGAGAAUAACCUUGAACUCCUGACCCUCUUCCCCUCACCUUUCAAGCCAAAUCAUAGGAGUGUUCCAUUAUGGCUAGCCAAUUCCAUGUAUUUUAGAAAUAUUUUUAUAGGGAAUAUUCACCUGUAUUUUUAUUUAUUUAAAAAAUAUAACAAAAUAAAAUAUAAUAAGAUAAAACAAAAACUAUCACACCAACAGCAGAAAAAGAACCUAAGAGAAGGCACAAGAAUCGGAGACCCACUCAUUUACACACUCAGGAAUCCCGUAAAAACACUAAAUGUGGAAGCCAUCAUAUACACACUGAAGGCCCAGUGCAGACCGCUGCGGACCUGUGCAUGCUGCUUCAGCCUCUGUGAGUUCACAUGAGCUUUGCUCAGGUUGAUUUAGAGGGCCCUGUUUUCUUGGUGUCCUCUGCCCUCUCUAAGUCCCACACUCUUUCUGAUUUCUCUUCCUAAAAGCUGUAACUAAUGCAAUGAAAUGAUGGUAAUUUUUAAUAAUUUGACUAAAUAAGUACUGGACUGCAAGGCCUCAUCUUGAUUUCUUGUUAUUUCUUGGAUUGGAUAUAAGCAUCUCCACCUCCCACCUCAACUUUAUGGUCUAAUAAUAGCAUUUAUCUUAUAGGGUUCUUAGCAAGAUUAAACAAUGCCACACCUUUCAAACAAGCUCUCAUAUUUUGCUCAGGAUGCUAAGGGAGGGAUUGAAGCUUGAAUUGUGACUCAUGAUUUAUGAGUUGUGUGCUCUUAGCUGGAUUACUCAGCUUCUGGGUUGAAUUAAUUCUAAGUGAAUCUCACAAAUAUGGAGCAUACAAUGUGCCAUUCACUAUAAAGCAUGCAUCAUACCCAGUGACGAACAGCUCAGACAUGAGCCCUGCUUGCCAUGUGACCUGGGAGGUGGGGGAAAGGAAGAUUAAGAAGUGAUUACAGAUCAGAGCUCCAAGGAUAUUAAAUGCUCACUCAUCCAACUGGAGCUGGACCCGUAGUUUACCCUAAAGGAUACAAUUACAAUGCCAUCUACAUGUCCAAUAUGCUCCAUUUGAACUUAAAACAGAUUUUGGGGUUCCAGGAGAUGGGGAGAAGAAAUAGGGAGUGAUUACUUUAAAGACCACAGGAUGUUCUGGGGUAAAAAAAACAUUUGGGAACUAGAGAGAGAUAUGGUGGCUAUACAAUAUUAUGGACGUACUAAACAUCACUGAACAAAUAACUUCCAAUGGCUAACUGAAUGUUAUAUGAAUUUCUAUUUCAAUAAAAAAUUAAUUAUAAAUGGUUCAGA